rnacentral:rRNA from 1 species
GAUGAACGCUAGCUACAGGCUUAACACAUGCAAGUCGAGGGGCAGCAUGGUCUUAGCUCGCUAAGGCCGAUGGCGACCGGCGCACGGGUGAGUAACACGUAUCCAACCUGCCGUCUACUCUUGGACAGCCUUCUGAAAGGAAGAUUAAUACAAGAUGGCAUCAUGAGUCCGCAUGUUCACAUGAUUAAAGGUAUUCCGGUAGACGAUGGGGAUGCGUUCCAUUAGAUAGUAGGCGGGGUAACGGCCCACCUAGUCUUCGAUGGAUAGGGGUUCUGAGAGGAAGGUCCCCCACAUUGGAACUGAGACACGGUCCAAACUCCUACGGGAGGCAGCAGUGAGGAAUAUUGGUCAAUGGGCGAGAGCCUGAACCAGCCAAGUAGCGUGAAGGAUGACUGCCCUAUGGGUUGUAAACUUCUUUUAUAAAGGAAUAAAGUCGGGUAUGGAUACCCGUUUGUAUGUACUUUAUGAAUAAGGAUCGGCUAACUCCGUG